UUCUUCUUCUCUUCUUCUUCUUCUUCUUCUUCUUCUUCUUCUUCUUCUUCUUCUUCUUCUUCUUCUUCUUCUACCUUUCUCCAUUCCUAACGCUCUCGUAUUUUCUUUUCUUCUUCCCUCAUUGCUUUUCUUUCCUUUCGCAUUUUUACGCUACCUGAAUAACUCUGGCGGACUGGUGGAUUCGGAUUCGAAUUUGAAGAAGAAGACGCCGACGAGGAGGAAGGAGAAGGAGAAGGAGAGGGGGAUUCAUAGACCGUUUCACGAUGCUUUGGCUUAUGAGAUUCUCCGGCUUCUUCUCCGCCGCGUUGACGAUGAUCGUCCUUUCUCCGUCGUUCCAGUCGUUCCCGCCGGCCGAAGCCAUCCAAUCGUCGCAUCUCAACGCCUAUCUCCGGCCAUCACCUCCGGUAUAUCACUCCUCACGCCGCUUCUCCUUCAGAAAAUCGCCUUCGUUCCGCAAUGCCGACGGAUGCGAUUCAUCCGGCGUCCAUUCCGGCGACUGCAGCCCCUCACUGGUCCACGUCGCGAUCACUCUCGAUGUCGAGUACCUCCGUGGCUCAAUCGCCGCAGUGCAUUCCAUUCUCCAGCACUCCAUGUGCCCCGAGAGUGUCUUCUUCCAUUUCCUCGUGUCCGAGAUGAACCUAGAGCAUGUGGUUCGAUCGACUUUCCCGGGAUUGAAGUUGAAGGUUUACUAUUUUGCACCCGAGACUCUACGGAGCCUGAUUUCUUCCUCCGUGAGGCAAGCGCUCGAGGAGCCGCUGAAUUACGCCAGAAAUUAUCUGGCGGAACUGCUCGAGCCCUGCGUAAAACGGGUCAUCUACUUGGAUUCGGAUCUCGUCGUCGUCGACGACAUCGCGAAGCUAUGGAGAACGAGUCUGGGUCCUAGAACAAUCGGAGCUCCGGAAUACUGCCGGGCGAAUUUCACCAAGUACUUCACCGCAACUUUCUGGUCCGACGAGCGGUUCUCCGGGACGUUCAAGGGAAGAAACCCUUGCUACUUCAACAGCGGAGUAAUGGUGAUGGAUCUAGAGAAGUGGAGGCGGGUCGGAUACACGAGACAGAUCGAGAAAUGGAUGGAGAUCCAGAAGAGCGAGCGGAUUUACGAGCUGGGAUCGCUACCGCCGUUCCUUCUGGUCUUCGCCGGAAAUGUGGCGCCAAUCUCGCACAGGUGGAACCAGCACGGACUGGGCGGAGACAAUGUGAGAGGUAGUUGCCGGGAUUUGCAUCCUGGUCCGGUGAGCUUGCUGCAUUGGUCCGGCAGUGGCAAGCCCUGGUUAAGGCUCGAUUCGAAGCGGCCAUGUCCAUUAGACGCACUUUGGGCGCCUUACGAUUUGUAUCGCCACUCGCAUUGGGACGAGACUCGGCCUGGCCGAUAAUUGCCACGAGGAUUAAUCAAAGAUUGGAGGAGGAGGAUGACCACAGAUCCCCACCGGUUUGCGUAAACCGAACCGAAGCCAUGCUACCGAUGUCGUAACCGGAAGGACCAAUCUUUGCUUCACACCAACAGCAACAGCAACAGGCAAACACAACUGCAGUUUAGGGACUGAACUCAACUGAAACAGCCUCCAAAGCGACAGCUCCAAAAUCUGGACGACGGAAAAUGUCGGAUUCAGAUGCAUCAGUCUGAAUCCAAGAUUAAACAGUAACCGGUUCCCUGAUCUCUUUGCUUUGAUCCAGAGGUGUGUAUUCUAUCAUCUCCCUCCCCGUGCCUUAUUGCCAAGCCAAUGUUACAUUUUUCUUCUGAAAAUCGUCACUUUACCAAUAAUCUCCACAAGAACAAACUCCGUCCUUGAAAUGGUGGAACCUAUUCGUAUCUCUCACAA